rnacentral:misc_RNA from 1 species
UAGGGAUAGUAGUGGAUAGCCCACAGCCCGACGUAGGAGGUGCGAGGACUUGGAACGAAUAGCCCGACCCUUG